AAAAGUCAAAAUUAUGUGUAAAAAAUUUGAGCUCCCUACUUAGUGUGAAGAAGAAUACUCCGCGGAGUAAUGGCACUACACAUUUCGUCUUCCUGUUUCAUAGGCAAAAUACAUACUCCAGGAGUAUAAUUUUACUACGCCAUUAUCCGACUUAACACUGAUGAGCUAGCCAACUGUAAUUUUCAAAGGAAGAAUGAUAAAUAUGCGCUAGAAAAUGUUUGUGUUUCCAUUUAUGUGCCGAUUAGGUUAGGCGGACUGGCGGAGUGGUCGUUGAUAUGCCAAUCCAUAACCUGUUCGAUAAAACGCCGAGACGAAUGCUACAACAAUUCUGCAAAUUAACUUUGUUACUACUCAAUUCUCUAUUCUGUUAUUUGUGAUUUUCUCUCUCCGAGAAUCUCGUUGCGAAUGUGAGGGAUGGAGAGAUAAAUAUAUAUGCAUAUAUGCCAUGUAUAAGUAAAUUUUUCAUUUCCAUUUUAAUAAGACUCAGCCUUCUUCAAACGUAGAUGAGGAGCCGCCAUGUUCAAGGAUAUGAAGUUAAAAGUGGAAGUUGUGAUUGAAAAUAUGCUGGACUCCGCCGUGAAGAGAAUAGAGUUUGCAGAAGAUAGCGGAAAGAUAUGUAGUUAAAAAAGUGGAAGCUGUGAUUACAGAAAUGCGGUUUAGCUUUGGUGAACAGGCGAGAACCAAGAGUGGUCCUCAUGUGGACAAUGAAAACUCUAGUUUGGUUUGUCAUUAGUAUGGAAAGCUCUGCAUCAAUCUGAUCAUCUGUUGCGAAUGAUGGUAUGACACUCCUGUAAGGCACAACCUCUCUCCAUCCAUAGGCUUGGACUAUUGCAGCUAUGGCCGUUACUUGGGAAGAAUCACCUAAGGCAGCACGAACAAAGUAUGGACUUUGGAUUGACAAGAGAGACGGGCUUGAAGCUGAAAAUGUUAUGAUUGGUACUUGAGAUUUGUUCCCAAGAUGUAUUAUAAAAGGUGUCUGCAUCGAGGACAACGGACCUAUGAUCGCUUGCACUUGUAUAUUCUUCAGUAAAUCUAGAGCUGCAUUUAUAAUUUAAUUGCAAGAAAAAGUAUGUAAGAUUACAUUUAUUUCACAGUGCAUCUGGCAGGCUUGAAGAUGUAAAAACUAAAAAGAAUACUGAUUCUGUUCUUCUUUUGAACUUUAGCCAUCCAGUGGCAAAUUUUUAACAGAUUAUAGAAGAAACCUAUUGGUUGUUCAUGA